AGACUAGUUCCUCCUCCGACCGCAUCAGCCUUCCGCCUUUCACUGAAGGUUCCGUGGAGAGAAGCCAUCGUGAGUUCCUACUCGAUUUUUUGAAGCCUCGUUUUUAUGAGAAA